UGCCAGCCGCCGCGGUAAUACGGAGGGUGCAAGCGUUAAUCGGAAUUACUGGGCGUAAAGCGCGCGUAGGCGGUUAUGAAAGUUGGAGGUGAAAUCCCCGGGCUCAACCUGGGACCUGCUUUCAAAACUUCAUGACUAGAGUACGGUAGAGGGUAGUGGAAUUUCCUGUGUAGCGGUGAAAUGCGUAGAUAUAGGAAGGAAUACCGGUGGCGAAGGCGGCUCACUGGGUCUCUUCUGACGCUGAGGGACGAAAGCUAGGGGAGCGAACGGGAUUAGAUA
rnacentral:rRNA from 1 species